GACGAACGCUGGCGGCGUGCUUAACACAUGCAAGUCGAACGGAAAGGCCCUGCUUUUGUGGGGUGCUCGAGUGGCGAACGGGUGAGUAACACGUGAGUAACCUGCCCUUGACUUUGGGAUAACUUCAGGAAACUGGGGCUAAUACCGGAUAGGAGCUCCUGCUGCAUGGUGGGGGUUGGAAAGUUUCGGCGGUUGGGGAUGGACUCGCGGCUUAUCAGCUUGUUGGUGGGGUAGUGGCUUACCAAGGCUUUGACGGGUAGCCGGCCUGAGAGGGUGACCGGCAACAUUGGGACUGAGAUACGGCCCAGACUCCUACGGGAGGCAGCAGUGGGGAAUAUUGCACAAGGGGCGGAAGCCUGAUGAAGAAACGCCGCGUGCGGGAUGACGGCCUUCGGGUUGUAAACCGCUUUCGCCUGUGACGAAGCGUGAGUGACGGUAAUGGGUAAAGAAGCACCGGCUAACUACGU
rnacentral:rRNA from 1 species